GACGAACGCUGGCGGCGUGGAUUAGGCAUGCAAGUCGAACGGUAGGGUUCCUUCGGGGACCUGAGAGUGGCGAACGGGUGAGUAACACGUAGGUAAUCUACCCUCGAAAUCGGGGGACAACCCAGGGAAACUUGGGCUAAUACCGGAUGAGUGCGCUUUCGGGUGCAUAAAAGGUGGCGUAAGCUGCCGCUUGGGGAUGAGCCUGCGUCCUAUUAGUUAGUUGGUGAGGUAACGGCUUACCAAGGCGAUGAUAGGUAGGCGGCCUUAACGGGUGGUCGCCCACACUGGGAUUGAGAUACGGCCCAGACUCCUACGGGAGGCAGCAGUCGAGAAUAGUCUACAAUGGUCGGAAGACUGAUAGUGCGACGCCGCGUGAACGAUGAAUCCCUUCGGGGUGUAAAGUUCUUUUAUAUGUGAGCAGUGCUUCUUAUAUUAACAGUAUGGGGAGAGAGAUAUUAGCAUAUGAAUAAGCAACGGCUAACUCCGUG
rnacentral:rRNA from 1 species